rnacentral:misc_RNA from 1 species
AUCCUCGUCGGUUGUAACAGAUAUCAAAGCAUCGAGAUCUUCAUUGGGCAGCUGAUACUUGACGCUCAAGUUAGCAAGACCAGAGAGUUUGGACAGCUUAGUCAAAAGAGAAGAGUAACUGGUAGAGCGGUGGAGUGCGACGAUGCGAGUCUCCCCAUCAACAUAACGAAGCUGAUUGUCAUGAGGCCGAGGAAGAAUCUUACCACCAAAACUGCACAUGAAGCGGACACGCGGAUCGUGGGAACCAUAAUGAUCGGAGCGAGGAGAUGAUGCGACGGAAUCUGUAGCGGCAGAGUCGAGCUCUGAUGCGUGAAGCGAUGCCAUAUCGUUACUUGGUUCUUUCCACUGUAAAAUUCGUAACACUAAACUAAACGAGAGAGAAGAGAAU